UGGGGAAUAUUGCACAAUGGGCGCAAGCCUGAUGCAGCCAUGCCGCGUGUGUGAAGAAGGCCUUCGGGUUGUAAAGCACUUUCAGCGGGGAGGAAGGCGUUAAGGUUAAUAACCUUGGCGAUUGACGUUACCCGCAGAAGAAGCACCGGCUAACUCCGUGCCAGCAGCCGCGGUAAUACGGAGGGUGCAAGCGUUAAUCGGAAUUACUGGGCGUAAAGCGCACGCAGGCGGUCUGUCAAGUCGGAUGUGAAAUCCCCGGGCUUAACCUGGGAACUGCAUUCGAAACUGGCAGGCUAGAGUCUCGUAGAGGGCGGUAGAAUUCCAGGUGUAGCGGUGAAAUGCGUAGAGAUCUGGAGGAAUACCGGUGGCGAAGGCGGCCCCCUGGACAAAGACUGACGCUCAGGUGCGAAAGCGUGGGGAGCAAACAGG
rnacentral:rRNA from 1 species